rnacentral:rRNA from 1 species
AUGAGACAAAAGAUCCUCUUUCUAAAGAGAUUUGAUUCGGAACUCUUACAUGUCCAAGGUCAAUAUGGAAAUUCUUUCAGAGGUUUUCCCUUACUUUGUCCGUGUCAACAAAAAUUUCGAAAUACCUCGACUUUUUUAGAACAGGUCCGAGUCAAAUAA